rnacentral:rRNA from 1 species
UACAGAGGUCUCAAGCGUUGUUCGGAUUCAUUGGGCGUAAAGGGUGCGUAGGCGGCGCGGUAAGUCGGGUGUGAAAUCUUGGAGCUUAACUCCGAAACUGCAUUCGAUACUGCCGUGCUUGAGGACUGGAGAGGAGACUGGAAUUUACGGUGUAGCGGUGAAAUGCGUAGAUAUCGUAAGGAAGACCAGUGGCGAAGGCGGGUCUCUGGACAGUCCUGACGCUGAGGCACGAAGGUCAGGGGAGCA